UACGUAGGGGGCAAGCGUUGUCCGGAAUCAUUGGGCGUAAAGAGCGUGUAGGCGGAUUUGUAAGUACCUUGUGAAAUCCCACGGCUUAACCGUGGAACUGCUUGGUAUACUGCUUAUCUUGGGCCACUUAGGGGUUACCGGAACAAACGGUGGAGCGGUGAAAUGCGUAGAUAUCAUUUGGAACGCCAAUGGUGAAAACAGGUAGCUGGGGCUGUGCUGACACUGAGACACGAAAGCCAGGGGAGCAAACGGG
rnacentral:rRNA from 1 species